CAGGCCUAACACAUGCAAGUCGAGCGGAUGACGGGAGCUUGCUCCUUGAUUCAGCGGCGGACGGGUGAGUAAUGCCUAGGAAUCUGCCUGGUAGUGGGGGACAACGUUUCGAAAGGAACGCUAAUACCGCAUACGUCCUACGGGAGAAAGCAGGGGACCUUCGGGCCUUGCGCUAUCAGAUGAGCCUAGGUCGGAUUAGCUAGUUGGUGAGGUAAUGGCUCACCAAGGCGACGAUCCGUAACUGGUCUGAGAGGAUGAUCAGUCACACUGGAACUGAGACACGGUCCCAAACUCCUACGGGAGGCAGCAGUGGGGGAAUAUUGGACAAUGGGCGAAAGCCUGAACCAGCCAUGCCGCGUGUGUGAUGAAGGUCUUCGGAUUGUAAAGCACUUUAAGUCGGGAGGAAAGGCAGUAAGUUUAUACCCUUGUUGUCUUGACCGU
rnacentral:rRNA from 1 species